ensembl:lncRNA
UCACCUGGUCGAUACACCAAGGAAGCCUAGCACAACAGUCAGCAUUCUGUUCUUCCUAGUGAAUAUUCUGGUUUGAUUCUUAGACUUCUGCGAGUUCCAUUCUGCAGUUCAGUCUCUGCCUGAGACAGGAGACCUUCCUCUGAGACUGCUCUGACCUGCCUGGGAUCCCAACCAUCAACAUUGUCUGCUCCUGAUAUCCGACCAGCCGCUUUAUCAUGGCUGAGGAUCCAGGAUCGCUGGAAGCAGAUAAUUCUCCCCACCUGCCAUCGAAGGUCAAUAUGAGCCCAAGGCUACAUCACAGCACCUGCGUCAUUCACCUCACUUCCUUUCCCAUCAUCACAAGAAGGAGACGGCCAAGAAAAUGCAUCAGCAGAAGGUGAUAGGUCAUGAGGCUGGAAGACAGAGGCUAUGCCUUCCGGUCCCAGGGGAAAUUUCUUCUGGAUGAAAUAGGCAGCAACCUCCAAUGUCAUAAUACAACAGCGCAGCCUUCACCAGGAGGAAAGACACCAUCAAGUCUUCAAAUCUGGAAGAAUCAGCUCUUGAAACCGAGAAUCAAUUAUUGAAAUCCAAAAUGGCUGAACAGCUUAGUUUAAAUCUUUAUUUUUGAG